rnacentral:rRNA from 1 species
UGGGGAAUAUUGCACAAUGGGCGCAAGCCUGAUGCAGCCAUGCCGCGUGUAUGAAGAAGGCCUUCGGGUUGUAAAGUACUUUCAGCGGGGAGGAAGGGGUUAUGGUUAAUAACCUUANCCAUUGACGUUACCCGCAGAAGAAGCACCGGCUAACUCCGUG